rnacentral:rRNA from 1 species
CAAUAGCGUAUAUUAAAGUUGUUGCAGUUAAAAAGCUCGUAGUUGGAUUUCGGAUGGGACUUGCCGGUCCGUCGUUUCGAUGUGCACUGGCCAGUCCUAUCUUGUUGUCGGGGACUAGCUCCUGGGCUUCACUGUCCGGGACUAGGAGCUGACGAGGUUACUUUGAGUAAAUUAGAGUGUUCAAAGCAAGCCUACGCUCUGAAUACAUUAGCAUGGAAUAACACGAUAGGACUCUGGCUUAUCUUGUUGGUCUGUGAGACCAGAGUAAUGAUUAAGAGGGACAGUCGGGGGCAUUCGUAUUUCAUUGUCAGAGGUGAAAUUCUUGGAUUUAUGAAAGACGAACUUCUGCGAAAGCAUUUGUCAAGGAUGUUUUCAUUAA